rnacentral:lncRNA from 10 species
CUCAGCACUGGCCAGGCUGGGCUGUGAUUGAUUCUGUGUCUGUUCCGCCAGCCAGACCGGAGGCUCCCUGAGGACAGGGACACGGCCUUGUCCCUCUCUGCGUCCCCAGGGUGGCCAGCCCAGUGGAUGAACAGCCACAAGUGGGCUAUAGAUGCUGCCUAAGGGAUGAAUGGAUGAUCUCGGGAGGGGCUGGGUGUGGGAGAUGAGGAAAGAAGGGACAUGGAGCAGGAGGGAGAAAACAGCGGAGAGGAGGUUAAUUAGGAGAGAGGCCCUAGGACACCCCAGCCACCAGGGUGCAGGGCCUGGGCCCCAGCACCGCGGGAUUCCCGCCCUCCCAUGGACCUCAGUGAUCUUCCUUCUGAGGUCAGUGCCCACCUGGCUCUGGACCCCUCUGACGAUCAGGAAGUUCUUCUUCCUCGUGGGAAUCAGGGCUGCUUGAGUCACAAGUGACAGAAUCUGCUCAGCUGCAGAGAAGAGGGGGUUUGGCAUAAGGACCCUGGUCUCUCAGAUGCAGCCAGAACUCAGGAGGGACCCGGACCGGAGACAGGAGCACCAGCCAGAAUGCAGACUGACUCUCUUCCACCCACCUCAUAAGACUUCAGGUGGGAGAAUAAUCCAGCUCCUGUUACUCUGUUGUAGAAGCAGAAAUCUAAAGAAAUCCCUAUUUCCUCCAUGUACUUGAGCUCUUGAUCUUCCAGGCAAGAGAUUUGAGAUGAAGGUUGAACCAGCAAAAGUUUUUAUGACCGCCUUGUCCCAGCAUGAAGACCAGAGGGCCAGAGCCACCUGCUGACAUCUGCUGAGUAUUGCUUGAAGUGCCUCUGCGAGGGGGCAGAUUGUGCUGAGACAUUGUGGUGAGAGUGGGUGAGGAGUGGGUUAGCCUAUGCUCACACUUGUGAGCAGGACAGAUAUCAAGAGGAGCGUUUUGUGAAAUGGAAUGUGUACUAACUGUAUUCUUCAAAAGUGAUCAGAGACAGGAGGGCACUUCCAGGUGUGGGGCCUGCAGAACACAGGGGCUCCUGCAGAGUGUGUGGGCAGGGAGACGCCGUGGGGGGCAGCAGGAAUAACUGAGUCCAGACACAGUGGUGAGCAGAGAAGAAACCCCUGCUCCUAGGAACCUGCUGCCCUCACCUCAAUGUGGUCCCGCAGCCCCUGAGGCCAGGUCUGCACUGACAAAUGACCUAUGUGAAUCAGCCCAGCUUCUGUCGAAGGCUGGCCUUGGAUGGAAACCAAGAGGGCGACCUCACCCUCCUCUUCCACAAAAGGGGUACAGUACCCACUUUCCACAGGUGUGGGGAUGCAUUCCAUUAGCCAGCCGCAGAGUGAGGACUUCUGGCUUUUUAGGUGUAAGGAAUGGGGUGGGGGAAUCUGGGACAACCCCUCUGUCUACCCUAACACACUGCCACCCCAACUCCUCUUUCAUUCAUCUUUUCAUUAAAUUUUGCUAAUCUGGACUCUUCACAGAGACUGUUCUAGGCUCCCAGGAAAAGGAGGCGAAUCAGUCGGGUCCUUGCCCUUUAGGUCCUCUGAGAUCAAUGCAGGAGCCUUCUCAGAAACAGACAGGCAUCCACAGUGUGCUAAGAGCAGCCCAGCACCAGGCAACGCUCUGCAGCACUCGUUAAGUACCAGGCAUUGUUCACUGUAUGUGCAACAUUUCACGGAACCCUCUCCACAACUUAGGUGCAUCACAUGGCUUCCUGGGCCCAUUCUCAUUUGUAAAUCAAGGCUAUUUUCUUUCUCCACAUGGCCAGACUUUUUACCCUAUACCUGCAUAAGAAUGCAAUACAUUCACGAGAAUGUACUCAUACACAUUAAUUAGCCAUACAAAAGGAAAGAAAAAAAUGAGUGGUAUUAAUGGUCCCUUCCAGUCCUGAUUGGCCAAAGACCUCUGAUUCUGGACUUCUCAGGAGUGGACAAAGUUGGGUCUGGGUCUGGGGCGAAGUGAGGCUCCUGGGGAUGGCCCUGGAGGACAUCUAUCCUAGGAAACUGGAAGUUGUCUCACUGAGUACAUUGAGUCAUUUAGCCUCCACUUUGGUCUUCACCUCUUACCCAGCUGACAACAAGGCUUCUUGGUCCCUCUGAGUCUGAUACACAGAGGCUCAUCUUGCCUUGUCCACUGUGCUGCAGGCUCACUGGCAUUAUUUGGGGCUUCUGUCAAUCUUUAUUCCAAGUCUUCUCCUUUGGCCAAAAAUGUGCUUUCCUUAUUAGUACACUUGCAGUUCCAGGGAUGAAAAUCUAACCCCUACAGGUUUAAAUAAAACAGAGAAGAAAUGAGGUGUCUUAUUGGCCCAUUCAACUAAGACAUCCAAGAGUUGAUGGCUUUGAGCACAGCUGAAUGCAGUGGCUUAAGGGCUAUCAUCUUAUAAUCUUGCCUUUCCAUCUCUUGACCAGUGCUUCUACAUUGAGUUAAUCCUCAGCCAUGCUCUCCCUUCUGGGUGGCAAAUGCUAUCCUAUGGAAAUCCCCACAGUUAUGCCACACUGGCUUCACCUCUCUCUUUCCUGAUAAUUUUAGCAAAAGUUCUUGGUAUGUGAUAUGGUUUGAAUGUGUUUUCCUUCCAAAUCUCAUGUUGAAAUGUGAACCCCAGUAUUGGAGGUGGGGCUUGGUGGGAAGUGUUGGACCAUGGAGGUGGAUCUUCAUGAAUCAGUUAGCUCCAUCCCCAUUGUAAUGAGUUACUGUGAGAUCUGAUUGUUAAAAAGUCUGGGACCUCCCCCUCUUUCUCUUGCUUCCUCUCUCCAUGUGACAUACCUGCUCCCUCUUCACCUUUUGUCAUAAGUAAAAACUGCCUGAGGCCUCACCAGAAGCUGAGUAGAUCCUGGGGCCAUGCUUAUACAGCCUGCAGAACUGCCCUUCCUCAUCCUCUCUGCCCCUCUCCUGACUGCCUCUUUCCUUCCUCCUACCCCUCUUUCUCUGCUUCUGUCCCAUACUCUCUCCUCCCUCUCCCCAUGUCCUGGCCCUCCCCAGCUAAUUAAAUGACACUGUGGAAACUGUUUUAUUUGCAUAUGGCUCAGGGGCCAUGGAGGGCCAGCAGUUGUGUGUUCAUUAAAUGGCUCCAUGUACAGGGAUGUAAUGAGCCAGUUUUAUUACAUCACCGUGGUUCAUCUGUGAGAUGAUAUUGUAUUCAUUGG